GUCUUAUCGAGAGUGGUGGAGGGAUCUGGCCCUGAGAAACCCGGCAACCAGCAGUUAUACUGCCCGGUGCUAAAUCCAGCAGGUUAAGCCUGAAAGAUAAGUA
rnacentral:ncRNA from 1 species